UACAGAGGUCCCAAGCGUUGUUCGGAUUUACUGGGCGUAAAGGGUGCGUAGGUGGUGAGGUAAGUCUGAUGUGAAAAUCUCCGAGCUUAACUCGGAAAUGGCAUUGGAAACUACCUUGCUAGAGGGUUGGAGGGGGGGACUGGAAUACUUGGUGUAGCAGUGAAAAUGCGUAGAUAUCAAGUGGAACACCAGUGGCGAAGGCGAGUCCCUGGACAACUCCUGACACUGAGGCACGAAGGUCAGGGGGAGCAAACGGG
rnacentral:rRNA from 1 species